rnacentral:rRNA from 1 species
GACGAACGCUGGCGGCGUGCUUAACACAUGCAAGUCGAACGGAAAGGCCCUGCCUUUGUGGGGUGCUCGAGUGGCGAACGGGUGAGUAACACGUGAGUAACCUGCCCUUGACUUUGGGAUAACUUCAGGAAACUGGGGCUAAUACCGGAUAGGAGCUCCUGCUGCAUGGUGGGGGUUGGAAAGUUUCGGCGGUUGGGGAUGGACUCGCGGCUUAUCAGCUUGUUGGUGGGGUAGUGGCUUACCAAGGCUUUGACGGGUAGCCGGCCUGAGAGGGUGACCGGCCACAUUGGGACUGAGAUACGGCCCAGACUCCUACGGGAGGCAGCAGUGGGGAAUAUUGCACAAUGGGCGGAAGCCUGAUGCAGCAACGCCGCGUGCGGGAUGACGGCCUUCGGGUUGUAAACCGCUAUCGCCUGUGACGAAGCGUGAGUGACGGUAAUGGGUAAAGAAGCACCGGCUAACUACGUG